rnacentral:rRNA from 1 species
UACGGAGGAUCCGAGCGUUAUCCGGAUUUAUUGGGUUUAAAGGGUGCGCAGGCGGGAGAUUAAGUCGGAGGUGAAAUUUUGCAGCUCAACUGUAAAAGUGCCUUCGAAACUGGUUUUCUUGAGUGCGUAAGAGGCAGGCGGAAUUCGUUGUGUAGCGGUGAAAUGCUUAGAUAUGACGAGGAACUCCUAUUGCGAAGGCAGCUUGCUGGGUCGUUACUGACGCUGAUGCUCGAAGGUGCGGGGAUCAAACAGGAUUAGAUACCCCGGUAGUCCCU